CUUUAUUAGUUAACAUCUACCAAUAUGAACAUUUAAUUUUUUAUAUUAAUAUAUACAGAUUUGACAUAUUUAUAUGACAAUACACUACAAACCAUUAAAGUCUGAAAUGGCCUAUAUCUGUACUCGACUGUACUGAUUUUUACUCGACCAGUCUGAAUUGGUCUGACUUUUACUUGACAUUACUCGACCCCAGUCUGAACCAUACUUGACUGUACUGAAUCGUACUUGACCCUUAUCUUUGCCGUUGAAAAUAGUCCAAACUAUUACUCGACUAGUCUGAAACAGUCUUAACCUAUUCUCGACAUGUACUCGGCCUAUUUUUCCAGUCUAAACCAUACUUAACCAAAGGUCUGAAAAAUACUCGACCAGUCUGAACCAUACUAUACUAAAAACCUCUACUUUUUUAACUGUUAAAAUAAAUUUCUUUUUAACUGACAUAUAUAACAACAGCCAACAAAAUUUAUAAAGAAUGUUAACCUUAUAAAAGAAAUAUAUCUCUGAUUAUAUUUAGGAUAGAAACAAAUAUAUUAUAUAUAACUUAUAUCAAAAAGGGAUAAAAUUAAAUAAAUAAAUAGAAUUGUUUUUCUAAUUAGUGGUGAAAUAUAAAGUAUAACCUCUGCUUGGGGGCAAACUCAUAAAUAAGAUCACACCUGGUCAGAGGUAUUAAAUUCUAAAUAACAUUGAUUCAAAAUUGCAACAUCCUGUUUAAAUUAAAUAACAAGGCCUUUCGAAUAUACAUGUAUGUACUAGAUAAGUAAUACACAAUUCUAAGAAAGUAGGGCUUUCUUUUUACCUGUAAAACACACAUGUACUGAGGUAAUUAGAAC
rnacentral:lncRNA from 1 species